rnacentral:rRNA from 1 species
AGAGUUUGAUCCUGGCUCAGAACGAACGCUGGCGGCAGGCUUAACACAUGCAAGUCGAACGCACCUUUCGGGGUGAGUGGCAGACGGGUGAGUAACGCGUGGGAACGUGCCCUUCAGUUCGGAAUAACCCAGGGAAACUUGGGCUAAUACCGGAUACGUGCGAGAGCAGAAAGAUUUAUCGCUGAAGGAUCGGCCCGCGUCUGAUUAGCUAGUUGGUAGGGUAAUGGCCUACCAAGGCGACGAUCAGUAGCUGGUCUGAGAGGAUGAUCAGCCACAUUGGGACUGAGACACGGCCCAAACUCCUACGGGAGGCAGCAGUGGGGAAUAUUGGACAAUGGGCGCAAGCCUGAUCCAGCCAUGCCGCGUGAGUGAUGAAGGCCUUAGGGUUGUAAAGCUCUUUCGGCGGGGACGAUAAUGACGGUACCCGCAGAAGAAGCCCCGGCUAACUUCGUGCCAGCAGCCGCGGUAAUACGAAGGGGGCUAGCGUUGUUCGGAAUCACUGGGCGUAAAGGGCGCGUAGGCGGCUUUGUCAGUCGGGGGUGAAAGCCUGUGGCUCAACCACAGAAUUGCCUUCGAUACUGCAAGGCUUGAGACCGGAAGAGGUCAGUGGAACUGCGAGUGUAGAGGUGAAAUUCGUAGAUAUUCGCAAGAACACCAGUGGCGAAGGCGGCUGACUGGUCCGGAUCUGACGCUGAGGCGCGAAAGCGUGGGGAGCAAACAGGAUUAGAUACCCUAGUAGUCC